UUUAAAUAAGAUGGUAAGUAAUUGGA
rnacentral:piRNA from 1 species